CCAUCACUCGCUCCAGUCUCCGCCUCUCCUCGCCGUCGUUUCCGCCCCUACCUUCCUCCAAAUCGCCGAUCGCGUUUAUGACCUCCUCCACGGUAGAGUUAGAAUGAUAUGCUAAGUAGAGAGAGGCGUAAUUCUAGGGAAUUUCAUUAACAUAGAGCCCUUGGAAUAGUAUAACAACAAGAUUUUCUCUUGCUGAGCAGCAAAAAUGGCUUUGGCUUCUUUUGUAAAAGUGGUUCUAGGCUCAAUUGCUUUUGCAAUCUUCUGGGUAUUGGCGGUUUUCCCAGCUGUUCCUUAUUUGUAAAAGUGGUUCUAGGCUCAAUUUUUUUUUAAUUCUUAUAUGUUUUAAAAAUGUGAGAUGAUGAGAUUUCUUAUAUGGUGAAGGAGCUAUUUGUCAACUCAAAGUUAUAAACUUCUUAUGCUUUCUUCUCUUAUUUGCAAUCUUUAUGUUUUGAUAUAUGAAUGCGUUUUAAGAUUGGUUA